rnacentral:rRNA from 1 species
GGAUGUGGCUGCGGCCGAUUAGGUUGACGGUGGGGUAACGGCCCACCGUGCCAAUAAUUGGAACAGGUUGUGAGAGCAAGAACCUGGAGACGGCNUCUGAGACAAGAUGCCGGGCCUUACGGGGCGCAGCAGGCGCGAAACCUUUACACUGCACGCACGUGCGAUAAGGGGACUCCGAGUGCGAGGGCAUAUCGUCCUCGCUUUUGUGUACCGUAGGGUGGUACACGAACAAGGGCUGGGCAAGACCGGUGCCAGCCGCCGCGGUAAUACCGGCAGCCCGAGUGAUGGCCGAUCUUAUUGGGCCUAAAGCGUCCGUAGCUGGGUCUGAAAGUCCAUCGGGAAAUCCACUCGCUCAACGAGUGGUCGUCCGGUGGAAACUCCACACCUUGGGACCGGAAGGCUCGAAGGGUACGGCCGGGGUAGGAGUGAAAUCCUGUAAUCCCGUCCGGACCACCGAUGGCGAAAGCACUUCGAGGAAACGGAUCCGACAGUGAGGGACGAAAGCUAAGAUCGCGAACCGGAUUAGAUACCCGGGUAGUCUUAGCCGUAAACAAUGUUCGUUAGGUAUGACACAGACUACGCGUCUGUGUUGUGCCGCAGGGAAGCCGAGAAACGAACCGCCUGGGAAGUACGUCUGCAAGGAUGAAACUUAAAGGAAUUGGCGGGGGAGCACUACAACCGGAGGAGCCUGCGGUUUAAUUGGAUUCAACGCCGGAA